rnacentral:rRNA from 1 species
AGUCGAGCGGAAGGCCCUUCGGGGUACUCGAGCGGCGAACGGGUGAGUAACACGUGAGUAACCUGCCCCUGACUCUGGGAUAAGCCUGGGAAACUGGGUCUAAUACCGGAUACGACCAUUUCUCGCAUGGGAUGGUGGUGGAAAGUUUUUUCGGUUGGGGAUGGGCUCGCGGCCUAUCAGCUUGUUGGUGGGGUGAUGGCCUACCAAGGCGACGACGGGUAGCCGGCCUGAGAGGGCGACCGGCCACACUGGGACUGAGACACGGCCCAGACUCCUACGGGAGGCAGCAGUGGGGAAUAUUGCGCAAUGGGCGGAAGCCUGACGCAGCGACGCCGCGUGGGGGAUGACGGCCUUCGGGUUGUAAACCUCUUUCAGCAGGGACGAAGUUGACGUGUACCUGUAGAAGAAGCGCCGGCUAACUACGUGCCAGCAGCCGCGGUAAUACGUAGGGCGCGAGCGUUGUCCGGAAUUAUUGGGCGUAAAGAGCUCGUAGGUGGCUUGUCGCGUCUGCCGUGAAAGCCCGUGGCUUAACUACGGGUCUGCGGUGGAUACGGGCAGGCUAGAGGCUGGUAGGGGCAAGCGGAAUUCCUGGUGUAGCGGUGAAAUGCGCAGAUAUCAGGAGGAACACCGGUGGCGAAGGCGGCUUGCUGGGCCAGUUCUGACGCUGAGGAGCGAAAGCGU